rnacentral:rRNA from 1 species
UACAGAGGGUGCUAGCGUUGUUCGGAAUCAUUGGGCGUAAAGAGCGUGUAGGCGGCCAAGCAGGUCCGUUGUGAAAACUGGAGGCUUAACCUCCAGACGUCGACGGAAACCGCGUGGCUAGAGUCCGGAAGAGGAGAGUGGAAUUCCUGGUGUAGCGGUGAAAUGCGCAGAUAUCAGGAAGAACACCAGUGGCGAAGGCGCUCUGCUAGGCCGUAACUGACACUGAGGGACGAAAGCUAGGGGAGCGAAUGGG